CAUAGGUUAAUGAGGCGAACCGGGGGAACUGAAACAUCUAAGUACCCCGAGGAAAAGAAAUCAACCGAGAUUCCCCCAGUAGCGGCGAGCGAACGGGGAGGAGCCCAGAGCCUGAAUCAGUGUGUGUGUUAGUGGAAGCGUCUGGAAAGGCGCGCGAUACAGGGUGACAGCCCCGUACACAAAAAUGCACAUGCUGUGAGCUCGAUGAGUAGGGCGGGACACGUGGUAUCCUGUCUGAAUAUGGGGGGACCAUCCUCCAAGGCUAAAUACUCCUGACUGACCGAUAGUGAACCAGUACCGUGAGGGAAAGGCGAAAAGAACCCCGGCGAGGGGAGUGAAAAAGAACCUGAAACCGUGUACGUACAAGCAGUGGGAGCCUCUUAAUGGGGUGACUGCGUACCUUUUGUAUAAUGGGUCAGCGACUUAUAUUCUGUAGCAAGGUUAACCGAAUAGGGGAGCCGAAGGGAAACCGAGUCUUAACUGGGCGUUAAGU
rnacentral:rRNA from 1 species